rnacentral:lncRNA from 1 species
AGGUAUGCUGUAUCCGUGUAAACUAAUUGUCUCUCUUUAGUGUCCCUUUAAAGGGCAACACUUUGACUAUUUUAUUCAGUGUAGUUUGGUAAUCGACAUCUAUUAGGGCAUUUACCAACUAUCGCCACCGUUAUCAAAAUGAAUCGCGUGCUUCUUGCUAUGUCUAGAAAUUUCACAUAACAGAACUGCAAGUACAGACCUUGUGGUUAACGUUGUUCAUGCAACGAAGCCCUUUUCUUUCUUUUCAGGGUACAUCAACAAGUUCCUCUCCUGGAAUGCUUUUGUGCCACUGAGCAGACUCACGUUUGGAGUGUACCUGAUUCAUUAUCCCUUCAUUAUUUUGUUCCUGCACAUUUCCAGAGAACGGAUGUUGUUUUCGCAUUUCACUUUGGUGUCGCUGUCCUUUGCGGUCUUGCUUUGGAGCUACUGCCUCACGUAUCUGAUGUUCGUACUGUGCGAGGCUCCAACGGCGCAGCUGGACAAGCUCAUUUUCAUGGGCGCCGGAAGGAACGAGCGGCGGCAGAAAUUGCCCCUUCAGAACGGCGCUCAACUCGACAAAACGUGGGUCGUCCCGACAGAAAGCGCUGUAGAAAAAGGCCAAACACACGUCGACCUGGAGAGCGGCAACAACAACAACAACGUGAACGGCAUCGUUGGCCAGAGCGUUACGUACCAUCUUUAAGAACGGUUCGCGAAGUUACUUCAAAUUGCUGGUCGAGGAUUUUUCACGCGAGGCAGAUGUGCCCCUCGGGAAGCGAGGACGAAGGUUGUAGGUAUACGAUGCGCGGAAGUAGGCUUUGUGAUAGGUAAAGUAUUUGCGUCGUAAGUACUUAUUAGCUGAAGUUCAUUUUCUGCCUGACAGUCUCGGUGCUGAUCCCAUGUUGAAGGUGGCCAUAACAGAAAAGACCGGCAGCAUAUCGCACACAACUGUUACUUUAGUCUUUCCUCCGACCUUCAUACCGGUUGAGGUCAGGCACGUCACAACAGCAGUGCCAAAGCCCACAGAACGGCGAGCCACAACUGCGCCGGCGUCACACUUCGCUACGCAAUUGCGCAGAUGCGCUCACUCGGUACAACCUCUAGCUUUUGGAGUUUUGUACGUGUGUUCACGGCUAACACAAUCAUCAUAUUCACGCUUAUAGUCUGAUCACGUGCGCGCUGUGCACGACUGCGCAGUGAGCUUCAAAAAAAGCACACCGUCGCACGCGCAUACCGUGCCUUUGGCUGUUGUGCAGUUCGUCACGCUCGAGUAAGUGUCAAGGAGUCAAAAGUACCUGUUGUAGUUAAAGAAUAAUUAAAUUCGUGUGUUAUUAAAGAAAAACAUUGUUCUACAUCAUUGCACUAAUGGGCACUUUUCGACAUAAAAAAUAUUGCAUGCUUAGAAACAAUAUUCUCCAUAAUUUGAUAAUAAUGGUUUCUCUCUUCGAUACACGAAACAAGUUCAAUCCUUAGUACCAUGGCUGCAUCAUUUCUAUCAUUUUUUUUUUUUUCAUGCUGAAAAAGCAUUUCUUGCCGUUUCCAUACUGGCCGUUAUGUGAGGCUGUGAACGGUGUCACCGAAAUUAAAGCAACAAAAACCUUCUAGUCUUUGACUGUCCAUUGCAUGCAUUGAACAUAAUCUUCUCUUUAGGUUCGAUGACUCUCAUUUGUCCAAUAAACACUACUUUAAAUGAA